AGAGUUUGAUCCUGGCUCAGGAUGAACGCUAGCUACAGGCUUAACACAUGCAAGUCGAGGGGAAACGACAUCGAAAGCUUGCUUUUGAUGGGCGUCGACCGGCGUACGGGUGACGUAACGCGUAUCCAACCUGCCCACCACUUGGGGAUAACCUUGCGAAAGUAAGACUAAUACCCAAUGAUAUCUCUAGAAGACAUCUGAAAAGAGAUUAAAGAUUUAUCGGUGAUGGAUGGGGAUGCGUCUGAUUAGCUUGUUGGCGGGGUAACGGCCCACCAAGGCAACCGAUCAGUAGGGGUUCUGAGAGGAAGGUCCCCCACAUUGGAACUGAGACACGGUCCAAACUCCUACGCGAGGCAGCA
rnacentral:rRNA from 1 species